UACGGAGGAUCCAAGCGUUAUCCGGAUUUAUUGGGUUUAAAGGGUGCGUAGGCGGCUUGUUAAGUCAGUGGUGAAAGUUUGCAGCUUAACUGUAAAAUUGCCAUUGAUACUGAUGAGCUUGAAUGUAGUUGAGGUAGGCGGAAUGAGUCAAGUAGCGGUGAAAUGCAUAGAUAUGACUCAGAACACCGAUUGCGAAGGCAGCUUACUAAACUAUUAUUGACGCUGAGGCACGAAAGCGUGGGGAUCGAACAGG
rnacentral:rRNA from 1 species